rnacentral:rRNA from 1 species
UGGGGAAUAUUGGACAAUGGGCGCAAGCCUGAUCCAGCCAUGCCGCGUGUGUGAAGAAGGCCUUAUGGUUGUAAAGCACUUUAAGCGAGGAGGAGGGUACUGGUAUUAAUACUACCAGGUACUGGACGUUACUCGCAGAAUAAGCACCGGCUAACUCUGUGCCAGCAGCCGCGGUAAUACAGAGGGUGCGAGCGUUAAUCGGAUUUACUGGGCGUAAAGCGUGCGUAGGCGGCUAAUUGAGUCGGAUGUGAAAUCCCCGAGCUUAACUUGGGAAUUGCAUUCGAUACUGGUUAGCUAGAGUGUGGGAGAGGAUGGUAGAAUUCCAGGUGUAGCGGUGAAAUGCGUAGAGAUCUGGAGGAAUACCGAUGGCGAAGGCAGCCAUCUGGCCUAACACUGACGCUGAGGUACGAAAGCAUGGGGAGCAAACAGG